rnacentral:rRNA from 1 species
UGGGGGAUAUUGCACAAUGGGCGAAAGCCUGAUGCAGCGACGCCGCGUGGGGGAUGUAGGCCUUCGGGUUGUAAACUUCUUUUGCUCUGAACAAGGCGCACCAUGGGGUGUGUUGAGUGUAGGGGUUGAUUAGCGCCGGCUAACUACGUGCCAGCAGCCGCGGUAAUACGUAGGGCGCGAGCGUUGUCCGGAAUUAUUGGGCGUAAAGGGCUUGUAGGUGGCUGGUUGCGUCUGUCGUGAAAGCUCAUGGCUUAACUGUGGGUUUGCGGUGGGUACGGGCUGGCUUGAGUGCAGUAGGGGAGGCUGGAAUUCCUGGUGUAGCGGUGGAAUGCGCAGAUAUCAGGAGGAAUACCGGUGGCGAAGGCGGGUCUCUGGGCUGUUACUGACACUGAGGAGCGAAAGCAUGGGGAGCGAACAGG